rnacentral:rRNA from 1 species
GACAGAGGGUGCGAACGUUGUUCGGAAUUACUGGGCGUAAAGCGCGUGUAGGCUGUUCGGAAAGUCGGGUGUGAAAGCCCUGGGCUCAACCUAGGAAGUGCACUCGAAACUCCCGAACUGGAGUCCCGGAGAGGAAGGCGGAAUUCUCGGUGUAGAGGUGAAAUGCAUAGAUAUCUUCAAGAACACCGAUUGCGAAGGCAGCUCACUAAGGAGUAACUGACGCUGAGGCACGAAAGCGUGGGUAGCAAACAGG